AGUGAACGCUGGCGGUAGGCCUAACACAUGCAAGUCGAACGGCAGCACAGUAAGAGCUUGCUCUUACGGGUGGCGAGUGGCGGACGAGUGAGGAAUACAUCGGAAUCUACUUUUUCGUGGAGGAUAACGUAGGGAAACUUACGCUAAUACCGCAUACGACCUACGGGUGAAAGCAGGGGAUCUUCGGACCUUGCGCGAUUGAAUGAGCCGAUGUCGGAUUAGCUAGUUGGCGGGGUAAAGGCCCACCAAGGCGACGAUCCGUAGCUGGUCUGAGAGGAUGAUCAGCCACACUGGAACUGAGACACGGUCCAGACUCCUACGGGAGGCAGCAGUGGGGAAUAUUGGACAAUGGGCGCAAGCCUGAUCCAGCCAUACCGCGUGGGUGAAGAAGGCCUUCGGGUUGUAAAGCCCUUUUGUUGGGAAAGAAAAGCAGCAGGUUAAUACCCCGCUGUUCUGACGGUACCCAAAGAAUAAGCACCGGCUAACUUCGUG
rnacentral:rRNA from 1 species